rnacentral:rRNA from 1 species
UACAGAGGCCUCGAGCGUUAGGCGGAAUCACUGGGCUUAAAGCGUGUGUAGGCGGACUUCUAAGUACCUUGUGAAAUCCCACGGCUCACCCGUGGAACUGCUUGGUAUACUGGUCGUCUUGAGCCUUCUAGGGGCGAGUGGAACAAAUGGUGGAGCGGUGAAAUGCGUAGAGAUCCGAAAGAACACCGGUGGCGAAGGCGGCCUGCUGGGCAGUUGCUGACGCUGAGGCGCGACAGCGUGGGGAGCAAACAGG